AUACCUGACAGGGAGGCAUCCUGAUCAUGGAGGUGGUUUUUGAGGGUGAGCCUCAUCACUGGCACUUCAGGUAGUCUGAGUCCUGCAGUUUUCCCAGAUCCAGGGAACUUGACUGUAAAAUUUGUGAUGUGGGAGACUCUUUUUGUUUUUUCCUG
rnacentral:snRNA from 14 species